rnacentral:rRNA from 1 species
CAGGCUUAAUACAUGCAAGUCGAGGGGCAGCACGGGACUUCGGAUCUGCUGACGACCGGCGCACGGGUGAGUAACGCGUAUGCAACCUACCUUUAACUGGAGGAUAGCCCCGAGAAAUCGGGAUUAAUACUUCAUAACAUUAUGAAACGACAUCGUUUUAUAUUUAAAGCUCCGGCGGUUAAAGAUGGGCAUGCGUGACAUUAGAUAGUUGGUGAGGUAACGGCUCACCAAGUCCACGAUGUCUAGGGGUUCUGAGAGGAUUAUCCCCCACACUGGUACUGAGACACGGACCAGACUCCUACGGGAGGCAGCAGUAAGGAAUAUUGGGCAAUGGACGAAAGUCUGACCCAGCCAUGCCGCGUGCAGGAUGACAGCCCUAUGGGUCGUAAACUGCUUUUAUAAGAGAAGAAACCUUCGGACGUGUCCGAGGCUGACGGUAUCUUAUGAAUAAGCACCGGCUAACUCCGUGCCAGCAGCCGCGGUAAUACGGAGGGUGCAAGCGUUAUCCGGAUUUAUUGGGUUUAAAGGGUGUGUAGGCGGAUUUUUAAGUCAGUGGUGAAAUCUCUAGGCUCAACCUAGAAACUGCCAUUGAUACUGGAAGUCUUGAGUUUAGAUGAAGUAGGCGGAAUAUGUCAUGUAGCGGUGAAAUGCAUAGAUAUGACAUAGAACACCGAUAGCGAAGGCAGCUUACUAAUGUAUAACUGACGCUGAUGCACGAAAGCGUGGGUAGCGAACAGGAUUAGAUACCCUGGUAGUCCACGCUGUAAACGAUGUUCACUCGUUGUUGGCAAUACAUCGUCAGCGACUAAGCGAAAGUGAUAAGUGAACCACCUGGGGAGUACGAUUGCAAGGUUGAAACUCAAAGGAAUUGACGGGGGCCCGCACAAGCGGAGGAGCAUGUGGUUUAAUUCGAUGACACGCGAGGAACCUUACCUGGGCUUAAAUGUAUAUUGACAGUCAAAGAGAUUUGAUCUUUCUUCGGAACAAUUUACAAGGUGCUGCAUGGUUGUCGUCAGCUCGUGCCGUGAGGUGUCGGGUUAAGUCCCAUAACGAGCGCAACCCCUAUUCUUAGUUGCCAUCAGGUCAUGCUGGGGACUCUAAGAAAACUGCCUACGCAAGUAGUGAGGAAGGUGGGGAUGACGUCAAAUCAGCACGGCCCUUACGUCCAGGGCUACACACGUGCUACAAUGGCCGAUACAGAGGGCAGCUACCUGGUGACAGGAUGCAAAUCUCGAAAAUCGGUCUCAGUUCGGAUCGAAGUCUGCAACUCGACUUCGUGAAGUUGGAUUCGCUAGUAAUCGCAUAUCAGCCAUGAUGCGGUGAAUACGUUCCCGGGCCUUGUACACACCGCCCGUCAAGCCAUGGAAGCUGGGAGUACCUAAAGUUCGUCACCGCAAGGAGCGACCUAGGGUAA